GGCAGUCACGGCCGUGUUUCUAUGUUAUGCUAUGCGGCAUGCGCUGUUCGUAGUUCAUUCUCCUUGUCGUCCAUCUUGAAAUAGUUUCGUAAGCUGUGUGUGUUUACUGUGUUUGUUUUGUCUGGAGGAAAUUAAUUGUACUUUGUCAUGAGUGAUUGAAAUGGAUUCUGAUUCAACAUAGUGAUGGACAUGUUUAAACAUCUGCUAAAAAACAAAAUGACAUAACCGAUUUUGAAGAGAGCUCUCCACUUUCAAGUCUACUAAUAUGAUGAAAAAGAUAUUUGAGGCCGUAGUGCUGAUGUGGGUACAUCUGAUUGAAGCAAUCUAAAAAUAUAGGAAUAGACCAUUAUAUUUAUUUAAAGAGGUGUGCUCAAUGUAUAUACCUAAAUUUUGAAAACUGCUAUUUUAUUAUUGUCUGAAUAAAUCGGUUUGAGACCUAAA